rnacentral:rRNA from 1 species
AAUUCCUACGGGGGGCAGCAGUGGGGGAUAUUGCACAAUGGGGGGAACCCUGAUGCAGCGACGCCGCGUGAGGGAAGACGGCCUUCGGGUUGUAAACCUCUGUCGCAGGGGACGAAGGAGAUGACGGUACCCUGUGAGGAAGCCACGGCUAACUACGUGCCAGCAGCCGCGGUAAUACGUAGGUGGCGAGCGUUAUCCGGAUUUAUUGGGUUUAAAGGGUGCGUAGGCGGAUUUUUAAGUCAGCGGUAAAAUGUCCGGGCUCAACCCGGGCCGGCCGUUGAAACUGGGGAUCUUGAGUGGGCGAG